UCAGACAACCUCUCCUUCAUCGCGUGUCGUUCUCACACUUCUCAGUCGUUCGUUUCCCUCUUAACAAUCUCUUCAUCUUCUCAAUCAUCUCCCUCUUUUCUUCAUCACAUCGUCUCCCACUUCAUCUCACAUCGCAUCAUCUCCUUCUCAGUUGCUCUUUCUAAUUCUCCUUCCGACACCAUCCCUCUCAACUCUAAAUCUCCCUCUGAUUCUCCCUCAUUACGGACGGCGAAUAGAUCAUGGAGACAAGUAGUGGACAACAUAGUGAAACUAGCUCUAGUCUUAGUCCUAGUCUUGCCCCUUCCACUAAUAAGGAUAUGGAAACUGUGAGUUCAAGUAAACUACCAUUACCCAGUAAGAAGAGAGCUAGAGCCACUAAGAAGCCAACCUUCUCUGUAUGGGAUCAUUUCACAAAGUUGGAAUAGAAUAGUUCUAGGUGCACAUGCAAUUAUUAUGAUAAAGAAUAUUGUUGUGAUACUGCCUCAUGUGGAACUAGCACAUUAUGGAAGCACUUAAAAAAUGAUCAAUGUAAGAAGUACUCAUAUAAUGAAGUAGAAACAAGAAAAACUAUUUUGACUCUUCAA